GACAGAAAAUAUGAGGAUAUUUUUUAAACCAAACCUCACCCGAAGGUUGGGUCGUCUGCUGGAAGAAACAGGUCAAUGUUGGAAAGAUACCUGAAUUAAAACAUUAUCAAGUUGGAUGGGACAUUUAAAAACUUUUGUUACUGCCACACCAGUACAUUAUUCCAACAAUUGUCUAAUGGGAAAACCAUUCUACUCAUCAAUGUUGGUUGCUCAACUCAGCUUUACUUGACACAACUUAAGUGAGGGGAAAAAAUUUCUUUUAAAAAAAAAAAUCAAUAACUUCAACCUAUGAAAAUCGGAAUCAAGAUGACUUGUAUUCUGAUUGCUAAUGAAGAGAGAACUAUGUGUUACUAACACAAUGAAUGAACAGCCAGUCCCCAACCCUGAUGGGGCCUCACUGCCAGCCCCAACCAGAGCCUCAUUGUUUCCAGCGUCUCGAUUGCCUGCUAAAUCGUCUGCUUGCGCCAUGCCUCCAUCUUGCGAGAGUGCCGUCCCCUUCUCGUCAUUAAAAAAAAAAAAAAACCCAUGCCGUUGUUGGUCAUCCUUGAAUGGAUUCUGUUGGAAAAUAAAAUGACAUCUGAGAUGCCAACUGAGACAGGCAAUAAAAAAAAAUAAAAUCUGUCAUCUGCACCCUCCAUUUCUGCAGUCUACAGCUAUUGUCUGAGACAGGAGAAGAUAACUGCCGACACAGAUCAGUGAAGGGCUUGUGUCUGAAUAAUGUGAGAAUAAGUUUCCACUCCAACCAGACAUUGGACAUAGCAGUGUUUUCUGUGACUAUACUGUCUGCUGUGGCUUACACUUGUUACCUUCAGCUCACAGGAGAACUUCUGGAAAAACAAAGGGGGAGCAGUAUGCAGUUGGAACAAGAUGAGAUUGGAGUGACAAAAGGAAACAUGGUGGUGGUGCUUGCAGCCCUGGGCCCUGUUUGAACUAAAUGACAAUUUAAACCCUUCCAUCUAAUAAAGAAAAACAAAUGGUGUAGAGAUGCUCCACUUCCAUACAGAGUCAAAGUAGUUGCUGGUUUCAUUGCAUGAUGGCAAGGUAUUGCUAAGUUUAUUUAUCUUAGUUUCAGUAUCAGUUGUAGUGAGACCUUAAUGAGUUAUAGUGAGAACUUAACAUAAGAUUUAUAGUGUGCAAACGUAUGGUUUAAAUUGGUAAAUUUAGAAGUUUUAGCUUCUGCCUAAGCAGGGGCAACUUAAGUAUUUUUGUUUCGGUUUAGUAUUAGUAGUUUUGUUAUGGCUUCCAAAGUGAAACCAUAAUAUGAUGUAUAGGUCUAUACAGUAUAUAUAGGUCUAGUGAGACAUUAAUGGCAAAGCUGAACCAUCUAGUAAGGUGUAUUGGGUGUAUAAGUAAGCUGACUAAAAGAUGAAUGGACUCACAGGUUUGGGAUGAGUCACAUCUGUUCUGUGUAGGACAGCAACCUGGCAAAGUAAGAAAAUCAUCAUUCAAAACCUCAGAAUAAAAUCACUGGUGAUUGUGUGUGGGAAAAUUGGUAAGGACAUUUCAGGUGUUCUUUCUAAAAAAAAAAAA